GUGCUCGCUUCAGCAGCACAUAUGUUAAAAUUGGAAUGACACAGAGAAGAUUAGCAUGGCCCCUGCACAAGGAUGACACAGAAAUUCGUGAAGCAUUCCAUAUUUUU